rnacentral:rRNA from 1 species
UACAGAGGUGGCAAGCGUUGUUCGGAAUUACUGGGCGUAAAGGGCGCGUAGGCGGCCUCGCAAGUCCCGUGUGAAAUCCCUCGGCUCAACUGAGGAAUGGCACGGGAAACUGCGGGGCUUGAGUUCGGGAGAGGGAAGCGGAAUUCCGGGUGUAGCGGUGAAAUGCGUAGAUAUCCGGAGGAACACCGGUGGCGAAGGCGGCUUCCUGGACCGAUACUGACGCUGAGGCGCGAAAGCGUGGGGAGCGAACAGG